AGGAGGUUGGCUUAGAAGUAGCCAUCCUUUAAAGAUUGUGUAACAACUCACUAUUCAAGGACAGUGGCGCCGAAAAUUCAUCGGGGCUAAGCAAGGUACCGAAGACGCGGAUCCGCCUUUCUUCGGAAAGGCGAGAUGGUAGGAGAGCAUUCCUAAUGUGCUGAAGUCGCAUCGUGAGGUGCGGUGGAACGUUAGGAAGCGAAAAUGUUGGCAUGAGUAAUCGCAAAGCCGGUGAAAAACCGGCUCCCCGAAAGUCUAAGGUUUCCUCCGCAACGGAAAUCGGCGGAGGGUUAGGCGGCCCUAAGGCAAUGGCGAAAGCCGGAGUCGAAGGAUAGUCGGUUAAUAUUCCGACCUACCGUCUGCACUAUACUGAUGGGGGGACGGAGGACAUAAACUUGAGCGUCUUAAUGGUUUGGCGUUCUUGGUACUGAGAGGUGUUGCUUAGGUAAAUCCGGGCAACUGCUUUUAAGGCAUAUCUCGUGUACCGAGAAAAGGCUGCGUUUUUGCGUAUCCAAUUUGAGCGAAGAGCCUUCCAAGAAAAGCCUCUAAGGUGUGUAGUCGGUUCCGUACCGUAAACCGCCACAGGUAGACAAGGCGAGAAGCCUCAGGGGAACGAGUGAGUCCUCGCUAAGGAACUCGGCAAAAAAGCGGCCGUAACUUCGGGAUAAGGCCUGCCCCGACUCAAAUCGGGGCCGCAGCGAAAGUAUCCCUGGCGACUGUUUAUCAAAAACACAGCUCCCUGCUAACUCGUAAGAGGAUGUAUAGGGGGUGACGCCUGACCGAUGC
rnacentral:rRNA from 1 species